rnacentral:rRNA from 1 species
UACAAGCUAGAUAAGGGCGUAUGGGGAAUGCCUAGGCUCUCAGAGGCGAUGAAGGACGUGAUAAGCUGCGAAAAGUCGUGGGGAUUGGCACAUACAAAUUGAUCCGCGAAUAUCCGAAUGGGGC